UGAGCUUUAAGUUAUGCAAACUGAGGGCCUUCAAAGCCCUCUAAGGGGUCUCCUCAAGUUUUG
rnacentral:tRNA from 1 species